rnacentral:rRNA from 1 species
UGAGGAAUAUUGGUCAAUGGGCGCAAGCCUGAACCAGCCAUCCCGCGUGCAGGAAGACGGCCCUAUGGGUUGUAAACUGCUUUUCCAGGGGGAGAAACUCGCGCACGUGUUGCGCAAUUGACGGUACCCUGGGAAUAAGCAUCGGCUAACUCCGUGCCAGCAGCCGCGGUAAUACGGAGGAUGCGAGCGUUAUCCGGAUUCAUUGGGUUUAAAGGGUGCGUAGGCGGACUAUUAAGUCAGUGGUGAAAUCCUGCAGCUUAACUGCAGAACUGCCAUUGAUACUGAUAGCCUGGAGUUUGGUUAAGGUAGGCGGAAUGUGUAAUGUAGCGGUGAAAUGCUUAGAUAUUACACAGAACACCAAUUGCGGAGGCAGCUUACUGAGCCGACACUGACGCUGAGGCACGAAAGCGUGGGGAUCGAACAG